GAUUAACGCUGGCGGCGUGCCUAACACAUGCAAGUCGAACGAGGUAGCAACACCUAGUGGCAGACGGGUGAGUAACGCGUGGUCAACCUACCGUUGAGUGGGGGAUAACUAGCCGAAAGGUUAGCUAAUACCGCAUACGUCUCCGAGGGGCAUCCCUUGGCGAUAAAAGGAGCAAUCCGCUCGAUGACGGGACCGCGUCCCAUUAGCUAGAUGGUGGGGUAAUGGCCUACCAUGGCUCCGAUGGGUAGCUGGUUUGAGAGAGCGACCAGCCACACUGGGACUGAGAAACGGCCCAGACUCCUACGGGAGGCAGCAGUGAGGAAUUUUCCGCAAUGGGCGAAAGCCUGACGGAGCGACGCCGCGUGUGGGAAGAAGGCCUUCGGGUCGU
rnacentral:rRNA from 1 species